UACAGAGGUGGCAAGCGUUGUUCGGAAUUACUGGGCGUAAAGGGCGCGUAGGCGGUCUUGUAAGUCUUGUGUGAAAUCCCUCGGCUUAACUGAGGAACUGCACGGGAUACUGCAUGACUUGAGAUCGGGAGAGGGAAGCGGAAUUCCGGGUGUAGCGGUGAAAUGCGUAGAUAUCCGGAGGAACACCGGUGGCGAAGGCGGCUUCCUGGACCAACACUGACGCUGAGGCGCGAAAGCUAGGGGAGCAAACGGG
rnacentral:rRNA from 1 species